GAUUAACGCUGGCGGCGUGCCUAACACAUGCAAGUCGAGCGGCAGCGAGUUUUACACUGAAUUCUGGAAGCUUCUAGUUGCAAGAGAAGAUUUAUUCAAGAAUUUUUUGUAAAAUGUCGGCGAGCGGCGGACGGCUGAGUAACGCGUGGGAACGUACCCCAAAGUGAGGGAUAACGCAUCGAAAGGUGUGCUAAUACCGCAUAUGGUCUUCGGAUUAAAGCCUUCGGGCGCUUUGGGAACGGCCUGCGUAAGAUUAGAUAGUUGGUGGGGUAAUGGCCUACCAAGUCGACGAUCUUUAACUGGUUUGAGAGGAUGAUCAGUCAGACUGGAACUGAGACACGGUCCAGACUCCUACGGGAGGCAGCAGUGAGGAAUCUUCCACAAUGGGCGAAAGCCUGAUGGAGCAACGCCGUGUGCAGGAUGAAGGCCUUCGGGUUGUAAACUGCUUUUAUAAGUGAGGAUUAUGACAGUAACUGAUGAAUAAGGAUCGGCUAACUACGUG
rnacentral:rRNA from 1 species